UUAAUUGAAACCAAAAAGAGGUAUACCACUGUUAAUGGUAUAAUUGAACUAAAGUUCCAAUUAAA
rnacentral:tRNA from 1 species